GCUCGGCACCUGGGAGAAAAAAUCUCGCCGCUCUAGCCGUGGUGUCCAUCUCCUGCGUCCAUCCAAGUUUCUCCCUUAUCUCAUCCGCGCGCCCUAGCCCCUGCUCAUCUUCCUCCACGCGACGUGCGCUUACCCGAGCAGCUCCCUGCCGCGCGCCCAAAUCUUCUUCCUCCCUGCGCCCCUCCCUAGAUUUUUCCCUUAGCCGCGUGCCUGACAGUCGCUUCCUCAAGCUCAGUGCUCCCUGCGCGCGCCGGUCCCCGGCCUUGCCCUGAGCCAUGGCGCUGGCCGUCGCGCCCAUGCCGACUCCCUGCUCGGCCGCCCAUCCCCCUUGCCAUGGCCAUGCCCCCCCCUUAGCUCGCCUCCCUCAAGCACGCCACGCUCCUCCCUGCUCAGCCAUGGAAGUCGCGCCGUCGACCCCGCCUGAACCCCUCCGCCGAGCCCCCUGCUUCUCUCUCCCUCCUCUCCAUCUCCAUAGUUGCGCCCCUCUGUUUCUCCCUGACGCACGCUCGUCCUCUGCCGAGGCCCCAUCUCGCCUGCGCUCGGACCGCGCCCUCGCUGUCGGUGCUUGCCUACUGCGGCCGUCCUGCUCCUUGCUGCGACCAUGCUCACCCGCGAUGCCUAGCGUCCUGCCUGCUCUGCUCGCCGUACCCAUGCCAAGCUCCCCUAUGCGCUGGUCGUCGAGUCCUCUCCCUGCUCGCCAUGGCCCUGGUCCUCGCAUCGCUGUGUGUAGCGGAAGCAUGGUGAGUUUUGGUCGCGGGCAUGGUCGUGCGACUUGGGAUCUGGGCACGCUGUUGUGGACUCCCCAUCGAUGCCCCUCCUGUCCUAACUCGACCAUCCUAGCCUGCGCAUGUCGUCGAAUCGUCGGAUUCCAUCCCCCAUGGCGCUUCCAUUUCCUCGCCAUUCCACGUCACCAGCUUCGUUCCAAUUCACUGGCCAUCUUUCUCUCCACGUCAUAGUUCUAUUAAGGGAAACGAUGUUGCUUGAGUAUUGGUCAGGAUGUGUGUAGAGAUGAGCUUGAAGAUGGGACUGUGGAUAGGGAAGAUAGUGAAGUUCCGUAUGUCACUCAUCAGAUGUUCGACGAAAACCCCAAACCAAAAAUCAUCGGUGUUCUUGCAAAUUUGAGCCGAGUAUAGUUCGGGAGAAGUCUAUGGAUGUCAAUUGGUGAAGAAGUGAGGCCCAUGUGCAUCGCUUAUCAAGUGCUCGGUCGAAGACUUCAAUCGAAGGUCGUCAUCGUUCGUGUGAUGAUCGAGUCAAAUUGCAAUAUGGUACGAUAAUUAAUCACGUGAUGCGGAGGAUCAUAACUGAGUCGACCACAAGAUGCUGGAAAGCGUGAGCCAUUCGCAAGAUGAUGCUGAUGAACGAAACUGAAGAUGGACACACAAAGCAAGUAUCGGAACAAAAGCUGAUCGCCAAGUGGACGUCACCUAACAAACACUAAUGUAGUGUUUAUUCUAGGCAAGCCCCGAUGCAUUUGCCACCUCCUUGCUGUUUUAAAAUUUUUAUCACCUUGAAUGAUGCAUUAGGUAAUAGGAGUUGUGUGAUUAAACAAUUGAUGCAUUUCCUUCCUUGAUUAAACAACCCUAAUACCUAUUUUAUGAAAAUUUAGUGAUGCUUAGCCCUGCUUAUUAAUUUAGGAUGGUUUUUAAAAGAUGAUGUGUAACACGGGAUAUGGGAGUUUGUGAAAUAAAAGGACUUGUGAUGAUGAA